AAGAAAUGUAUAAACCAGCAGAUAAAACAUUUUGGGCAUUCAGAUUAAAAAAUAAACAUACAAUUCUCUAAAAGUGAAAAACAAUGUAAGGUGUUUCAGAGGAGAGUGGGUGACUAUUGGGGACAUUAGAACAUGCUCUGCUAAAAAAAACAACAAUGAAAAUGAGCUGAUAGACAUCAUAGUCAUCCUUGUAAAGGGCCUGAUUCUGCAGCCUUUCCUCAUGCUAGCAGUCUUCACUUAUGAGGAAACCUAGGGCUAGAACCUGAAUCUGUGGGUACCUGGUGACUGCUAUAUCCAAAUUGCAUCCCUCCAGCUCUGAAAAGGCAGAGAUCAAUGGAAUCUGAACAGCACUGAUCUUCCACUCCUGAAACUCACGUACCAGAGACUGAUAAUCAUGUCGGAUUGUGCACAUCAUCUCUAAUGUACACAAAGGAGAAUUAGGCCACUAGUGUCAAUGUAUUUAAACAUGCACGAGGAUUUGAAG